rnacentral:sRNA from 1 species
UUGAUAGCCAUUUCCUGGGAAACCUUCUAGCCACAGACCAGGUACAACACAAGCACUGAUAGUUCAUGCUUCUUCCACAGUAUAUUGGCAAUGAACCUUACAUCUCUAGGGGAAAGAUCAUCUCUGUAGGAGAAAAGGCAGCUUGGUAGAGCUGGAUGAAAAAAUUGCAUUU